AGGACUACCAAGGGUCUAGUGACUGGUUGGAGGACUACCAAGGGACUAGUGACUGGUUGGAGGACUACCAAGGGACUAGUGACUGGUUGGCUGCUUUUAGGAGGACUACCAAGGGUCUAGUGACUGGUUGGCUGCUUUUAGGAGGACUACCAAGGGUCUAGUGACUGGUUGGCUGCUUUUAGGAGGACUACCAAGGGACUAGUGACUGGUUGGCUGCUUUUAGGAGGACUACCAAGGGUCUAGUGACUGGUUGGAGGACUACCAAGGGACUAGUGACUGGUUGGAGGACUACCAAGGGACUAG
ensembl:lncRNA